GACGAACGCUGGCGGCGUGCCUAAUACAUGCAAGUCGAACGCUUCUUUUUCCACCGGAGCUUGCUCCACCGGAAAAAGAGGAGUGGCGAACGGGUGAGUAACACGUGGGUAACCUGCCCAUCAGAAGGGGAUAACACUUGGAAACAGGUGCUAAUACCGUAUAACAAUCGAAACCGCAUGGUUUUGAUUUGAAAGGCGCUUUCGGGUGUCGCUGAUGGAUGGACCCGCGGUGCAUUAGCUAGUUGGUGAGGUAACGGCUCACCAAGGCCACGAUGCAUAGCCGACCUGAGAGGGUGAUCGGCCACAUUGGGACUGAGACACGGCCCAAACUCCUACGGGAGGCAGCAGUAGGGAAUCUUCGGCAAUGGACGAAAGUCUGACCGAGCAACGCCGCGUGAGUGAAGAAGGUUUUCGGAUCGUAAAACUCUGUUGUUAGAGAAGAACAAGGAUGAGAGUAACUGUUCAUCCCUUGACGGUAUCUAACCAGAAAGCCACGGCUAACUACGUGCCAGCAGCCGCGGUAAUACGUAGGUGGCAAGCGUUGUCCGGAUUUAUUGGGCGUAAAGCGAGCGCAGGCGGUUUCUUAAGUCUGAUGUGAAAGCCCCCGGCUCAACCGGGGAGGGUCAUUGGAAACUGGGAGACUUGAGUGCAGAAGAGGAGAGUGGAAUUCCAUGUGUAGCGGUGAAAUGCGUAGAUAUAUGGAGGAACACCAGUGGCGAAGGCGGCUCUCUGGUCUGUAACUGACGCUGAGGCUCGAAAGCGUGGGGAGCAAACAGGAUUAGAUACCCUGGUAGUCCACGCCGUAAACGAUGAGUGCUAAGUGUUGGAGGGUUUCCGCCCUUCAGUGCUGCAGCUAACGCAUUAAGCACUCCGCCUGGGGAGUACGACCGCAAGGUUGAAACUCAAAGGAAUUGACGGGGGCCCGCACAAGCGGUGGAGCAUGUGGUUUAAUUCGAAGCAACGCGAAGAACCUUACCAGGUCUUGACAUCCUUUGACCACUCUAGAGAUAGAGCUUCCCCUUCGGGGGCAAAGUGACAGGUGGUGCAUGGUUGUCGUCAGCUCGUGUCGUGAGAUGUUGGGUUAAGUCCCGCAACGAGCGCAACCCUUAUUGUUAGUUGCCAUCAUUCAGUUGGGCACUCUAGCAAGACUGCCGGUGACAAACCGGAGGAAGGUGGGGAUGACGUCAAAUCAUCAUGCCCCUUAUGACCUGGGCUACACACGUGCUACAAUGGGAAGUACAACGAGUCGCGAAGUCGCGAGGCUAAGCUAAUCUCUUAAAGCUUCUCUCAGUUCGGAUUGCAGGCUGCAACUCGCCUGCACGAAGCCGGAAUCGCUAGUAAUCGCGGAUCAGCACGCCGCGGUGAAUACGUUCCCGGGCCUUGCACA
rnacentral:rRNA from 1 species